CACAAUAAGCUGGCAUCUGUACCCAAGGUUCUCAAUGGUAGAUAUCAAUGACUGAUAUUUUAAAGUCUUAGAGCAGUAAGAGUCCUCCAUCAACAAGUCAAAUGAACAUGAGACCUCAAAUAGUGUAACUGUUUUGCCAUUCUGAGAGAUGUUAACGAUAUCUGGUGGAUUGUAAUGUGAAAUCAA